AUGCUACACCUCAUCAGGAGACAGGAAUUUUGGCCUGGAGUGCCAAAACUGCUGCUGCAGCCAGAAAAGGAGCUGCUUCCAGGAGGUGCUCGUCAGUACCUGGGGAGAUGCUGCAGCAGUGGCUUGUGGUCAGCUCGCCAGUUACGUUUCUUCAGCCUCUGCAUUGCCUGGCAGCUGAGCACCGCUUCGAGUCACUUAAACAAAACCAACUCUGAAAGCAAAACUCCGACGGAGCUUCUGAGUCUCACCCAGCUUCACACUCACACCGGGGGAAGGGGAAAUCGCACGCAAGGGAGCUUUUCCUCCUUCACCUCCCAGUGUGAAUGUGGAUGUAUGAGCAAUGAAUGGCAAUGGGAAAGGAAAUGCAGAGAAACCACACAACGAUUUACUGGGGCUUUAGCAAAAUAUUAUCAUUCUUAAUGUUUGUCGGCAUGUGGCAACUUUCUUUGAACCAGGGAUAGUUUAAAUUCCUUCUUGCUUUGAAGACUUAAUUUUCUCCCAUAAAGAUUAUGGAGACUGUCUUGGAUAAUUUUAGGACUUAGGCACACUAUUUGCUGAGCUCAGGCAUGUUUUGGACCAUGUAUAUUUUAUUUGCCACCUGCCAGCUCGUGUUCACAUUUUCCCAAAGUCUAGAGGUCACAGACAAAUCUUGAGCAAAGCCAUUUGCUACGGCCCAGAUCCCGCGUUGCACGUGCAUGGCCUGAGAGCCCUGCUUGCAUACAGGCACCACUCAAAACUUAUUAAAUGAUGUUUCCAGGCAGAGCUAGAUCCCCAGCCUUGCAAACAGUGGCUCCGGUAAGUAACUUUGCAGACGGCCACAUGACAACCGCAGGCAUGACGUGGUGUCUGUCUCGUUGUUUGCUGGUGGCACUCGGGGGCCACAGCCUGGGAGGAGAACAUCGGGCUGGAGGGCAAAGGAGAUGUCUGGGCACUACACAGGGCUCGUCUGGGUCCUCUACAGACUGAAGCUCAUCCCCUGGCCAUGACGCAAAAUCCUCCAAGCUCAGUGAGCCAGGGUUGGUAGGCAACUGUGAGCCAACAGAAAUGCCUCAGUCGCUCUGAAUACAGCCAAGCCAGGAAUUCGCCCAAUCUCUGAUUUGGCCAACGCAGAAUGGACAAAAAACAUUUGGAGGUGACAUGAGAAAUCACCGUGCUCCAGCCCUGGGGACUUUUAUUAAGGAGAAGGUGGGGAUGAGGCCUGAAGACAGCACAUCAGCAUCAAACACCCAGCUCUUUGGUUAACAGGGGAAUGCUCUGAAAAGGACUGAUAGAUGAAACCCAAGGCAGACAAAUUCAAAAUAAAGCCUGUAGACAUAGCA
rnacentral:lncRNA from 1 species